UACAGAGGUCUCAAGCGUUGUUCGGAUUCAUUGGGCGUAAAGGGUGCGUAGGCGGCGCGGUAAGUCGGGUGUGAAAUCUCGGAGCUUAACUCCGAAACUGCAUUCGAUACUGCCGUGCUUGAGGACUGGAGAGGAGACUGGAAUUUACGGUGUAGCGGUGAAAUGCGUAGAUAUCAUUUGGAACGCCAAUGGUGAAAACAGGUUGCUGGGAGUAUGCUGACGCUGAGACACGAAAGCCAGGGGAGCGAACGGG
rnacentral:rRNA from 1 species